ensembl:lncRNA
UGGUCACCAGGGAGAACAGCCAGAUGCUAAGGGGGACUUGUUCAGAGGCCCAGGGGCCGAGACCUGCAGUGGCCAGACCCUUCCCAGCCGACCCAACACCACAAUCGAGGGGUUUAAGCAACAGAGAUGGACUGUCUCCAGGAUCUGGGGAUUGCAAGUUGGAUUCGAGUUGCGGGCAGGUUUGGUUCCCUCCAAGGACUGGGAACGAAGGAUCUGCUCCGGGCUCUCUCCUUGCCUUAGAAACGGCCAUCUUCUCCCUUCACGCGCUUUUCCUGCUAUGCGUGUCAAUAUACAGAUUUCCCUGUUUUAUAAGGACACCAGUCACGUUGGAGUAGGGUCCACCCUAAGGACCUCAUUUUACCUGAUUCCCUCUGUCAUCUCCAAAUAAGGUCACAUUCUGACUCCUGGGGAUGCCAACAACCCACCCCACAGC